AUAAAUCAUUUGAAAAACAUAUAUCAUAAACUUUAUGAAAUAAAUCAAAACUUUGAAUCAAAACACCAAACCUUUUUGUUCUUGGCAAGAACAUCAAGAACAAUGAAGAACAUCCAUGAAAAACCCAAAAAUUUUUCCAUGAACUUUUUUUACCCAAAAAACAUUCCAAAACCAUUCUUACUUAAGGGAAAUAACAUCUAACCAAACUAGGGUACUUAGGGAUUCCAAAGAACACAUUAAAACACUUUUAACAAGUCAAACAAGAACCCAAAAUUCCACCCUUUGGAUUUGGCCGAAUUUUCCCAAAAGCAUGGCACCAAAUUUUAGCUCCAAUAUUCAUGCUCAUA
rnacentral:lncRNA from 1 species